ACUGGGGCUUUUAGCAAUAGAGCCUCGAGUUUAUUCUUCUGUUUCUUUAACCCUAUUUUUAAAUAGAUCUUUUUAAACUUUGCCUGACACUCUUGCUUGUAUGAAGCAGGUUAACCCUGUAAGGUGCAGGCCUGUGGCUGGAGCAAUUAGAGCGGCAUUAAGUGAGGGUGGUUUCUCCAGGCAUCUCAGCAAAUUUAAAUCUGUACCAUCGUAGCUCUGUUACCCCAGCAGCAACAAGGGUGUCACUAAGUGACAGUCUGAGUACUAAGAGGCUUCACCAUUGCUGGAUCAUGACUUAGCGGUACAUUUCUUCCUUUGAACUACCAGGGAGGGAGAGCUGCCUGUCCCUGAGGAAAAGAGGGUCAAAUUCGCCUUCCACUAAGCCUCAAGAAAGGCCGCCAGCCGCAAAACAGAGGCUCACUGCACGGAUCAUAAUGGGUCACCUUUCCCCGCUCGCACCCUCCUAGCGUCCUGACCCCCGCAGACACUGCAUUUCGGGAGCGCAGGGCCACCAAGCUGCAUCUACAGAUAAACAUCGAGAAUCAGGAUCGCCCAGCGAGCGCUUCCUGGACUGAGUCGAGAGCUCCAGUGAUUUCCCUGGCCUGCCACCGAGUCAUUUAAGAAGUGAAAUAUGCCAACGGGGCCGGGUACCCAGCACCUGGGAGCCCGUCCCACCGCCUCUGCGAUGGAGUGGGAGCUGCCAAUGGCUGGGCAACGUCUCUGCGGAUGGCGCAUUCUCAGACCCACCCUGAAUCCAGCAUGCUCUCACCAAGACUUAAUUGCAUCUGCAAAGAACCUAUUUCCAGAUAAGGUCACAUCCACAGGUGAAAAGAAUCAUUGAUACCACCUGCAGACCACAGCAGCUAGAAGUCAAGCGGAUGGAAGCUUCUCAAAGGAAGGGAUACGCCUUACCCUUCUUUGUAUUUCCACAGCAUCCACCAUGGUACUUGGAUCAAAGUAGGUGUCUAAUACAUAUUUAGGAGGGAAAGUAGGAUAACCUGUAUAUAGGAUCUGCUUCCAAUUUUUUAAAUAUCUGUAAUAUAUAUGAUGUUCAUGUAGUUGGAAAAUACAUCAU